rnacentral:rRNA from 1 species
UACGUAGGGUGCGAGCGUUAAUCGGAAUUACUGGGCGUAAAGCGUUCGCAGGCGGUGAUGUAAGACCGAUGUGAAAUCCCCGGGCUCAACCUGGGAACUGCAUUUGUGACUGCAUCGCUGGAGUGCGGCAGAGGGGGAUGGAAUUCCGCGUGUAGCAGUGAAAUGCGUAGAUAUGCGGAGGAACACCGAUGGCGAAGGCAAUCCCCUGGGCCUGCACUGACGCUCAUGCACGAAAGCGUGGGGAGCAAACAGG